rnacentral:rRNA from 1 species
UACAGAGGGUGCGAGCGUUAAUCGGAAUUACUGGGCGUAAAGGGCGCGUAGGCGGUUUAUCAAGUGAGAUGUGAAAUCCCCGGGCUUAACCUGGGAACUGCAUCUUAAACUGAUGAGCUGGAGUACUGUAGAGGAUAGUGGAAUUUCCGGUGUAGCGGUGAAAUGCGUAGAGAUCGGAAGGAACAUCAGUGGCGAAGGCGACUGUCUGGACAGAUACUGACGCUGAGGCGCGAAAGCGUGGGGAGCAAACAGG